UCCCGGGACCCGGCUGCAGACACAGCCGCGGCCCCGCCCAACCCACAUCCGGGCCUCCGCGUAGUCCGGGGACCCUGGUCUCGGCGCGGUCCGAGGAUCAGGUACUUCCGUCGAGAAACCCGAGCAACAGAGGUGCGCCGUAGCACACCGGGGCCAGGGACGAACGGCUUGCCGGUGCAAAGCAGCGCCCCCGGGGAGACGCCGGCAGCAAAAGGCUUCCUUGGCCCGGGGUCUGGGCGCAGGGGAGGUACUCAGAGCUCCCGCAUGCCGAGGGCAGAAGAGCUGCAGACCACCAGGACUCUGGGCCAAGUGAAGAUGUGUGUGGAACACUUUCCUCAUUCCUUGAGUAAGGGAAGAGAACACCAAUAUCCGCUCCAACCUUCAAAAGCAAAGGAACAGUCAAACUCACACAAUGAAGCUAAGGAGCACUGGCGUCAGAUCUGUAAGUUUAUUUGCUCAAUGUACGACAGCUACAUAAUGACUCACAUUCAUGAUAUUCCAUCACUGAGGAAACUGCUAAAGAUGGUCCGUGUGUGAAAUAAUUCCUUAGAGAAACACGGAGCUGGAAAAAUAAUCACUGAUUAGACCUUAAAAAUAGUUCACUGCAUAACAUGACAAAAAGCACAAAGGCUCAUUCAGAGAACGUGUUCGUCGUUCUCCGACACUGUAAUAGUUAUAAUUUCACCAUGACAAACACCAGACAUUAAGAUUAAGCUAACACUGGUGUUUCUUUUGCUCCCCCCCUUUUAAAAACAAAAUAUAUAACUGCAUGUCACUAUAGCAACAUCCAAAACAGAUCAAUUUGUUACAAUCACUAUUUGGUAGAGCAAACUUUACCCCCAAAAGGAAUAAUUAAAUUAAAAACAAAACAAAACAAAAAAAAAAACCUUUAAAAAAUUUGAAGACUUAAUUUUUUUGUCAUAGGAAUACAUAACACCUACAGUAUAAGUUAAUCAAUUUCAAGCUACUGUAUAGAAAUACAACACUAGCAUGCACAAUAUUGUAUCAAUAGAGUAAUGGAGGAGUAAUCAUUUCACUGGAGAGACAGUAUCAUAGGCAAGUGCAUUUCUUUAAAAAUAAAGAAAAGAAAAACCAUUCAAGCUGCUUAAAUAUCGUCUCCCGUUCCUUCUCUGUUUUUAGCCCUCAGGUGUGAUUUUUUAAUCUUGCAUUAUUCUAAAAAGCAGCCAGAGCCAAAGCUGAAAUUUAAAGGAAAAAUCGGUUUUGUAAUUCCAGUAAAUCAUUUCCAAACGCUACGAGGAAAAACGCAACACUGCUCACUGGACAUGAAGAUAAAUUAGGGAAAGCCCCACCUACCCCCCCGCCCCCCCCCCCCCCCCGAAAUCGUUUUCCUCCCAUGGCAAUGACUUGUGGUGCCCGUGAGACGCACCAACGCGGCAAAGCUCUCUUCUACUAGUUCUCCUGUAGCUUCAGUGAACCGGGACUUCUGCUCUAGCGUGAGGAGGGGGCCUUCUAAGGAAAGUCAUGCUGGGUAAACUGUGCAGCGUCACAGAGCACACUGAGACUGUGCUCAUCGUGGUUCUUCCAUCUUCACUGUCACCUGUAUCCUGUUACACAUACUCAGUUCCUAAGUGUAAGCUCAGUUUUGGUAUUUAGCAAAAGCAUCUGUCCGUUUUUCCUCAAUUAUUACUCACACUUCUUCUUACCUAA